AGUUGUGGUCCCGUCCGGGCAAUGCUCCGCGUGCAAAUUUUGGCGUCCGUGCUUUCUUGACCUGACCUGUCUUUUUGUUCCAAUACAUAGCUUAGGUUCCAACCUAGCUUCGUCUGUCUCUAUCUAACGCUGUCUCUUCAUUCUUUUUUUUUUUUUUUAAGCUAAUCUUCAUUCGCUCUUGCUAAUUUCCCACGAACCUCGUAUCUUGUUACCGAAUUCCAUGAAAAAAAAGCACAUUUCUGUAUGUAUCUUUUUAGGGUAUUGCUACAAUUGCCGUAGCUUCCCGCUUUGUCUUACCACUUGAGGUGGCAUGUCACGUGUAUUUUAUUUUUUUAAAGUCUCCCGCCCAACAUCCCCCCUCCUUAUUUUCUCUUCAAAUUCUCAGAAGUGAAAAGUCUCCAAACCCCACGAUAAGCCUACCUUCAUUUCCUCCAACUCCUCUGUCAGAUUUAGACCGGCAUCUACUCCAAGCGGCAAGAAAUCCAUUUCCGGCGCUGACUUCUAGCUCUCAUUUGUCCAACCUCUAUUCCGAGAGAUUAUUUUGGCAUUGGACGGACUGCUCCUCCCUCACAGGUAAUUCAAAUUACAUUAUGGAAUGUCCAUGAUCUUUAUUUCUUUGGAAUGGAAUACCAUGAGUUUUGCUUGACAGAGAAGUUCACAGUUGCUGCAGUGCAAGAAAAGUACAUGAAAGAUUUGUUUCUGGUUCGGUUGAUUCAUAAGCUCUGUUUCUGGUUAGCUUUCCACUUCCACGUGUUUGUGCUUUUGCUAAAGCAUCAACAUCAGCAUGUUUAUGAUUCUGUCAUUCUGUUUGAGAGGCUUAACGGUUUUACCGCAGGUGCUGCAAAGCUUAUUAGCAACUGUUUUUUUUUUUUUUUAUCUUAUGUGUGGAAGAUCCGGAGAAGGAUCAAAGCACAUUGCAGUAUUUUACUAUAUUUAUUUUAGUGUGUACGAUCUUUAAAAGGAUCAUGCUAAUCAUUGUAGUUUUUCAUAGUAGCCGUCCCCAGGGUUGAUUAUUGUAUUUCGUUACUCUCAAUUAUUUUUGACAGUGAGAUGAGGAUUAGAGACAUCAUGGAAGUUAAUUUCUGUACAUGUAUCUUUAUUUUCCUGAGCGAUGCUUAUAUCUUGAUGGAAGCAAAUACUGUUGGUAUGAGUAUAGUUUACAAUUUGUUGUUUUUA